GACGAACGCUGGCGGCGUGCUUAACACAUGCAAGUCGAACGGAAAGGCCCCUUUGGGGGUCCUCGAGUGGCGAACGGGUGAGUAACACGUGAGUAACCUGCCCUUGACUUCGGGAUAACUUCAGGAAACUGGGGCUAAUACCGGAUAGGAAUCCUUGCUGCAUGGUGGGGGUUGGAAAGCUUCGGCGGUUUUGGAUGGACUCGCGGCUUAUCAGCUUGUUGGUGGGGUAGUGGCUUACCAAGGCUUUGACGGGUAGCCGGCCUGAGAGGGCGACCGGCCACAUUGGGACUGAGAUACGGCCCAGACUCCUACGGGAGGCAGCAGUGGGGAAUAUUGCACAAUGGGCGGAAGCCUGAUGCAGCAACGCCGCGUGCGGGAUGACGGCCUUCGGGUUGUAAACCGCUUUCAGCAGGGGCGAAGCUUGUGGUGACGGUACCUGCAGAAGAAGCACCGGCCAACUACGUG
rnacentral:rRNA from 1 species